CCUUCCCUGCUUGGUUCCCUCUAUCCCUCCCUCCCUCUCCCAGGGGUAGGGUUUCAUUUAGUUCAAAUGCCAUCCAUGGUGCUCUGUCCGUCACUCCGUCCAAGUCCCAAAUGCCAUCCUAUCACCGUGAUUUAGUUUAAAUUAUUCUGAAAUGCUUCAAUUCAGUUCACAAGCUUUUCAUUUAUUCUGAAUAUGUUCGACUUGCUACAGAUAACAAGUAAGAACAUUCAACAUUGAGUAUAGAAUUCUGGAAAAAAAGUUUACAUAUUAGCUGACGCAUGCAAUCACUUGGCUACCACAUGUUAAUAAUUUUGCUUUCCUUUUUAUACUUGUAAGAUAAACUGAACAAAGCACUCUAAUAAUUGCAAAAGAAAUUGAUGCAACUGUUGACGCAAUUUAUAGCACUGAUCUGUGACUGAGUCACAUGUCUUCUGAGAUAAAUGUCCAUAUACUAGUUACUCAGUAAAACUGUGGUUUUGUGCACUGCAUUCAUUUAAUUUCUUCCUUAACUAUUGUAUUGGGUGGAAUGUAAUUGAGUGACUGAAAGUAAGCACUGCCUGUAUAUAUUUUGAUUGUUUUGUCUCCCAUGUGAAGGCACUUGUUUGGUGAUUCGGUGGAAAACUUGUCACUUAAAGAGUUGAAGCAGCUUGAGAGCAGCCUGGAGAAUGGCAUUUCAAAGAUCAGGGCAAGGAAGAUAAGAAUGUAUUAAGUUAUCCAAUCCAACCAUGCAUCUUCACACAAACUAAUCAUAAACAAAGGAGUGAGCUGCUGUCUGCAGAGGUCAAUUACAUGGUCAAAAGGGAGACUGAGCUCCAGAAUGACCACAUGAACCUCAAGACUAAGGUAUGCUUAACUGUCAGAAUUCAGAAACAAACUUUUGUUGCAUAUAUAAUAUAGCUACCUAGCCUUAAAAAGUAAAUAAAAAAUCUUUAUACAGUAUUAAUCCUGAAAUCAUGCUUUUCAUUUGUGCCGAUCACUCUGUCCAUCAUCUAUGUCUGAUCUGAUUGAGGAGGGAGAGCAGCAGCUGCAGCAGGUGACCGUGGCGCGGUCUGCCGCCAUGGCAGCGCAAGUGCGGAGCUGAACCCAUUCUUGGAGAUGGACACCAAGUGCUUCUUCCCCGCCGGCCAUUUCGUGGGGCUGGACAUGAGGUGCUUCUUUCCAGGAGGCUUGCAGAUGCUGGAGGCACACCGCCAGAUACUCACCACCGAGGUCAACCUCGGCUACCAGCUGGCGCCACCGAGCAGCGACGGCAUCAAUAAUCCUCAUCAGUUCUAAGCUGCAUGAGGAGAGCUAUUCAGGCGAACUGUCACCGAUAAUGGAAGCUGGCAGUUUGUAUUGUAGUGUUAAACAAUUCAACCAGAUCAGUAUUGUAGUAUAUUUUGUAAAUAUCUCUGUACAUGCCACAUGUUAGUCUUACCAUAUCAGACUGAAUAAGGCUAACGACAAAAAUAAAAUGUGUUGAGCUCGCCAAAGUCCAGGUUGGUGCA